GGCACGAUGGCCGAGUGGUUAAGGCGGUAGACUUGAAUGCCGAUAUUGGCGAGUAAUCGUUGGUGUUAUGUUCUUGUCAUCUACUAUCUUCGGAUGCGUAGGUUCAAAUCCUGCUCGUGUCG